GGAGGGGGACAUGGGAGAGAGCUGGAACAGUGGGUCUAAGGCACAAAGCACAGCCCUGUGAGAGGUUCUGUGAGUAAGGACUGCCUGGCAAGAGCGUAGGAGAUUCAAGCGUCCGGUCCAUGGGGGUGGGGGCUAGAUGAGUUCCAAGAUCCUUGUCUCCCACCCUUCUUGAGAAAUACAGUGAGAGCCCAGGGCAGGCUCCAGUUGAGCCUAAGAGCAAGCAGGGGCACAGGUAUGGCUGAGACGGGCCACUUAAGCACCCACAGCAAAGAGCCAGCUCUCUGCUCAACCCCCCACAGGCCCACCAGAGAAAGAUUUUAGCUUGGUCCCUUCUGCCACAGGAGAGAUGUGAAAUUAACCUUCUGGACACUUUCUUUCAAUAGCCCAGGCCACAUGCCAGCCCUCAAGCUGUCUGUUGGAGCUAAAGAUAAUAUCAAAGGGUAUUUUUUUUCUGCUUCCAAACCAGUUCUGGUCAGAUCUGAUCCAAAGACACAGGGGACAGAAACGCAGCAGGCAGUGGCUGCAGCCCGGGUGGAAAUCUGGAGUGUGCAGCCUGGGCUUGGUAGCCAGGACCUGAAAUUGACCGGCAUUCGUCGGACCUGGGGUCUGACUUUAGCAUACUGACAAUCCACUCCCCACUUCCCAAACUACAGUUCCACCUGCCUCCAAAUAAGGAUGCUCUUCUUAAUUUAAUCACAGAGACUGAGGAAAGGCUUGGAACACCUGCCCCUGUCCCACCCUGCCCUACCCCUCCAGACCCCUCUGCACUGCUAGGAGCCUUCCACAGAAGCCGGUACACGCAGACACACAGAGAGCCAUGCAUACAAUCUGCCGUCAGCCAUCGUCAGUUCCAGCAGACCCCUCACCGAAAAGUCCCCAGAUCCGAAUGGGAUGAGGGGCCAGCUCGGCCUGCUCUGAUUUCCAGUCUGUGCAAGGAAU